CCUACGGGAGGCAGCAGUGAGGAAUAUUGGUCAAUGGCCGGAAGGCUGAACCAGCCAUGCCGCGUGAAGGUCAGUGCCCUAUGGGCGUUACACUUCUUUUGUGCGGGAGCAAUAAUGGUCACGUGUGGCCAGACGAGAGUACCGUACGAAUAAGCAUCGGCUAACUCCGUGCCAGCAGCCGCGGUAAUACGGGGGAUGCAAGCGUUAUCCGGAUGUAUUUGGUUUAAAGGGUGCGUAGGCUGGGAGGUAAGUCAGCGGUGAAAUGCCCCCGCUCAACGGGGUGAAGUGCCAUUGAUACUGCCUGGCUGGAAGGCGGAUGCCGUGGGAGGAAGGUGUGGUGUAGCGGGGAAAUGCAUAGAUAUCACACAGAACCCCGAUUGCGAAGGCAUCUCACGAAUCCGCGAUUGACGCUGAUGCACGAAAGCGUGGGUAUCAAACAGGAUUAGAUACCCUAGUAGUC
rnacentral:rRNA from 1 species